UACGUAGGGGGCGAGCGUUGUCCGGAAUCAUUGGGCGUAAAGAGCUCGUAGGCGGCUCAGUUAGUCGGCUGUGAAAUCCCAGGGCUCAACCCUGGAACUGCAGUCGAUACUGCUGUGGCUAGAGUGCAGGAGAGGAAGGUAGAAUUCCCGGUGUAGCGGUGAAAUGCGUAGAGAUCGGGAGGAACACCAGUGGCGAAGGCGACUGCCUGGACUGAUACUGACACUGAGGUGCGAAAGCGUGGGUAGCAAACAGG
rnacentral:misc_RNA from 1 species